AUGGAUGACGAUAUUGCUGCACUCCUGGUCGGCAUGUGCGAGGCCAGCUUCGCGGGCAACGACGCUCCCCGGACUGUCUUCCCCUCCAUCCCCUCCCUUUUCCUCCCGGGGCAGGGAACCCCGGCACCAGGGCGUGAUGGUGGGCAUGAGCCAGAAGGACUCCUAUGUGGGUGAUGAGGCCCAGAGCAAGAGAGGCAUCCUGACCCUCAAGUACACCAUCGAGCAGGGCAUCGUCACCAACUGGGAGGACACGGAGAAGAUAUGGCACCACACCUUCUACAACGAGCUGCGGGUGGCCCCCGAGGAGCACCCCGUGCUGCUCACUGAGGCCCCCCUGAACCCUAAGGCCAACUGUGAGAAGAUGGCCCAUAUCAUGUUCAAGACCUUUGACACCCCAGCCAUGUACGUGGCCAUCCAGGCUGUGCUAUCCCUGUACACCUCUGGCCGCACCACUGGCAUCGUGAUGGACUCCAGUGACAGGGUCAUCCACACGGUGCCCAUCUACUAGGGGUACGCCCUCCCCCACGCCAUCCUGCGUCUGGACCUGGCUGGCGGGGACCUGACGGACUACCUCAUGAAGAUCCUCACGGAGCGUGGCUACAGCUUCACCAACACGGCUGAGCGGGAAAUCGUUCAUGACAUCAAGGAGAAGUUCUGCUACGUCGCCCUGGACUUCAAGCAGGAGAUGGCCACCGCGGCUUCCAGCUCCUCCCUGGAGAACAGCUGCGAGCUGCCCGAUGGGCAGGUCAUCACCAUUGGCAAUGGGCGGUUCCACUGCCCUGAGGGUCUCUUCCAGCCUUCCUUCCUGGGCAUGGAAUCCUGUGACAUCCACGAAACUACCUUCAAUUCCAUCAUGAAGUGUGACGUCGACAUCCGCAAGGACCUCUAUGCCAACACGGUGCUGUCUGGCGGGACCACCAUGUACCCAGGCAUCGCCGACAGGAUGCAGAAGGAGAUCACCGCCCUGGCUCCCAGCACAAUGAACAUCAAGAUCACUGCUGCCCCUGAGUGCGAGUACUCUGUGUGGAUCGGCGGCCCCAUCCUGGCCUCGCUGUCCACCUUCCAGCAGAUGUAGAUCAGCAAGCAGGAGUACACUGAGUCUGGCCCCUCCAUCGUCCACCGCAAAUGCUUCCAGGUGGACUGUUAG